GUCUGUUUUGUAAAUUGAAUUCUAUAUCACUUAUUCAGAAUGCAGCACUUGUACAGUUGUACUCGAGCUUUAUAAUUCAGACGAAUUUAAUCGAACGAAAUAAUUGAAUUGCGACAGUAUAGUGCGUCGUAUAAUAAACAGCAUUAUUAUAUAUUGGAUGAAGUUUUUGUGAUAUCCAGAAUUAUCAAGGUUGAGGUAAGUGUUAUUCGGCAUUAAGCAUUAUUCGGUAUGCGAAGUUCAUAUUACGCAAAAGGUAUUCCCUGCAAGUUUUGCCUGAGAUUUAUUUUGUGCAAAUGGCAUGCUGAUUUGGUUAGCUAAUAAAGUGAUAAUCUAGAAUAAAGACUUUAAUCGGCUUUACAAUGUCGCUGCAAUUGGUGUCGCUGCAGCAAUUGAAAACUUUAGUGCAACUACAG